rnacentral:lncRNA from 1 species
AGGGAGAUGCACACAGGUUUUUAGUCAGAAAGAAAGGGACAGGAGGAGCGGAAGAUGCUCAAAAGGGGAAGAGAGAGUUGAUGAAGAAAGUGGAUGGAACCAGGAGCCCGAAGAGAGAAGCUUCUCCCUCUGCAGGAGGGAAGGAGGAUGCCGGGAGAAGGGAGGAAGGUGCGGUCACAGAAAGUGGAGAAAAGGUGGUUGCUUUCUUACAUAAUGCACAGCCUUGAGGACAGGGGCUGGCAUCGAUCUUCUAUUUUUGGACCAUCCUAAGACACUGCUGCACCUUAGUAAUGAUUCAUGGAAGGAAAAGAGGAUAUCACAAGAAAAGAUUUGCAAAGCGUCUCUGCUGUUGAAAUGGAUGUAACAAAAAGGUAUGAGAGUUAAUACAACAACCUGCAGGCCAGAUGCUGCUGCUUCAUGUUUGAUUUCCAAAAGAAAACCAUGAAAACCUUUCAUUGUAAAAAUGAUUGGCAUCCUUUGAAAAGCUCAAGAGGAGAAACAUGUCCUGGAAUUUUUAAAGGAGAUAAAGUCUUUCUUCCCUUGACUUUCUUUGCCUCAUGCUCUUAAAAUCGGAAGAAAUCUUUUGAACCAGAACUUUUUUAAGAAGAUAGAAAAAAGUUUGUGCCUUCCCAAUGGCAGAAGCAUGGGAGAGAGUAUGUAUGGGAACUGUGUGCUGAGCAGUAGGGAGGAGAACCAACUAAAGGUGAAGGAAAAGUACAAAAAAGAGAGAUUUUGCACACCAAAGAGAAAUCUCUCCUGUUUCACAAGUUUUAUCAGGGUGGCCCUAAAAUGUUUUCCUUCAAUUCAUGUGAGUUUAAUAUUCAAGCACUUACUGCUGUCCCAUACUGAGAGCAAAAACUUUUAUCUGAUUACUCCUUUUCCGGAUGCCCAGCAUCAAGAGCAGUAUUUGGCCCACAGAAGAAAAUUUGCAAAGUCACGUAGCCAGAGCAUAUGCAGAAGAAGAAACCUUGAUGGGAAAGGAACAUAGAACCAAAACUCUCCUCCACCCAGAACCAGAGGACCAGGACAUGACCGGAACUUAAAAGUCGGACUCUUAUCAGAAGUGAGGGGUCCCUCAUUCCAGAAGAUCCGAUGUUAAAAUUCCUUCCCCACCUCAUCAAAAAUGUUUAGGAGCCUGUCGUAAAAGUUUAGAACCCCAUCACAAAUGUUUAGAACCCGGUCAUACAUGUUUAGAACCUUUCUAUCAAUGCUUGAAGCCCACUAAUCAAAACCUGUCCCCAGCGUUUCCACGUGCCGGGCUGUUCUCCCUAACUUCUUACAUUUUGCCCUAAAUCCUGAAUCCAGGAGACAGAUCUGAGGGCACACGCCCCCUGUCUUCCUGCAGAUUGAUCUUGAAGCAUAAAUCUGCUCUCUUUUCCCAAAGGCUGAUGCCGUAAUUAGCUGGCUUGUUUAUGUGCGUCAAGUAGGAGAACCCCAUUUUUGUGCAGUAACGUUUUGGGGAUU